UGGGGAAUAUUGGACAAUGGGCGCAAGCCUGAUCCAGCCAUGCCGCGUGAGUGAUGAAGGCCCUAGGGUUGUAAAGCUCUUUCACCGGUGAAGAUAAUGACGGUAACCGGAGAAGAAGCCCCGGCUAACUUCGUGCCAGCAGCCGCGGUAAUACGAAGGGGGCUAGCGUUGUUCGGAUUUACUGGGCGUAAAGCGCACGUAGGCGGACUUUUAAGUCAGGGGUGAAAUCCCGGGGCUCAACCCCGGAACUGCCUUUGAUACUGGAAGUCUUGAGUAUGGUAGAGGUGAGUGGAAUUCCGAGUGUAGAGGUGAAAUUCGUAGAUAUUCGGAGGAACACCAGUGGCGAAGGCGGCUGACUGGACCAUUACUGACGCUGAGGUGCGAAAGCGUGGGGAGCAAACAGG
rnacentral:rRNA from 1 species